GACGAACGCUGGCGGCGUGCCUAAUACAUGCAAGUCGAACGAAGUUGUUUUAACUGGUGCUUGCACCGACUUAAACAACUGAGUGGCGAACGGGUGAGUAACACGUGGGUAACCUGCCCCAAAGUGGGGGAUAACAUUUGGAAACAGAUGCUAAUAACCGCCAUAACCAACCAGAAACCUACCAUGGUUUCGUUGUGUCAAAGAAUGGUUUCGGGUCGUAUCACUUUGGGUAGUGGACCCGGCCGGCGGUAUUAG
rnacentral:rRNA from 1 species